GAUGAACGCUGGCGGCGUGCCUAAUACAUGCAAGUCGAGCGAACAGACGAGGAGCUUGCUCCUUUGACGUUAGCGGCGGACGGGUGAGUAACACGUGGGUAACCUACCUAUAAGACUGGGAUAACUUCGGGAAACCGGAGCUAAUACCGGAUAAUAUUUUGAACCGCAUGGUUCGAUAGUGAAAGACGGCCUUGCUAUCACUUAUAGAUGGACCUGCGCCGUAUUAGCUAGUUGGUAAGGUAACGGCUUACCAAGGCAACGAUACGUAGCCGACCUGAGAGGGGGAACGGCCACAAUUGAACUGGGAAACGGUUCAGACCCCUACGGGAGGCAGCAGGUGGGAAACUUUCGGAAUGGGGGAAAGCCUGACCGAGCAACGGCGGGUGAGUGAAGGAGGGCUUCGGAACGGAAAACUCCGUUUUUAGGGAAAAACAAAAGUGGAAGUAACUGGGCACGACUUGAAGGUACCUAAUCAGAAAGGCACGGCUAACUACGUG
rnacentral:rRNA from 1 species